UUCAAACCAAGCAUUUAAAUUCAUUAACUUUUAUCAACAUACAUUAACUUUCAACUAACAUUUAAAUUCCAUUUCAAACUUAACUACCAUUCAUUUCCAUUUCCAAAUUUCCAAAUUUACAUUCAUAACAUUUCAAAUUAAGAUUUCACAAAAAAAAACAUUUCAAAUUGAUCUUCAAAACCAUCUCAUUCUGUAAAAUCAUUCCAUAGCCAAGCUUGAUUUCGCCUUCCCGAAUUGAAUCCCGCACAAAUAAUUUCCAAUAUAUAAUUAAACAUUGAACAAAGCAUAUCAUAUUAAAUAAAAACUAACAAUUAAUCAUAAUUUCGGUUUUCAUAAUAAUGCCUUCAUCAACCAUUCGAAAACAUGACUAGUGCACCAAAACUAGGAACCAAAAGACUUCAAAGUUGCAAAUAAAGUUCUAUGUAAUUACCUUACCACCAAGCUUGUGGAUUUUUGUGUUACAUUGUUGCUACCCCUUUCAAUAGGAUGGAUGCUUGUGGACUUCAUCAUUCAACAAUGUAUGAAUCCCUAGCUCUAUGACCUACUGUCAGAAUCAAACAGAGAGAGCAAUUUGGCAUGAUCAUUACCAUCAUUUUCAUAUAGAUUUAACCAUGUUAGUAGAGUUCCUAAUUUGCUAGCAGCAUGUAACAGGCACAACAGUUAGACCAACUCACUUCAGAUCCAUAAUGAGAUCAAUUAACAACCAAAAGCUAAUCCUACAUUCGAUAAUUAAAUUCAUUUAAUUCCCAAGCAUC
rnacentral:lncRNA from 1 species